GCCCGAGCAGAGCAAGGAGCCUGAUCCUGGCUCUGGGGCUGUCCGGACCCUCCAGCCCUGGGGAGGACCCUCUGUGCUGCCCCUCGGAGCAGGGAUGUGGGGCUGGGGGCAGCGAGGCUGGCUGGGGCUCGAGCACCACCGGCACAGUGGCUGCCAGCAGCAAGGACACCCAGGAAGGACUGGUCCCUUGCUUUAUUUUUCUCCCCAUAUUUCUGCUACAGCAUCAGAUAACUCAGGGGUGAGUGGGUGCCAUUUAACCUGGGUCAUUGUACCAAUUUAACUCCCUUCUUUUUUUUCAGGUGGUCACAAUUAUAAACCAAUAAAUUCCUCACUCUGUGUUUAA